UCCCUGGUGGUUUAGUGGGUUAAGGAUGCAGCAUUGUUACUGCUGUGGCUGAGGUCAGUGCUGUGGCAAGGGUUUGAUUCCUGGCCUGGGAA
rnacentral:tRNA from 1 species